UGGGGAAUAUUGGACAAUGGGCGCAAGCCUGAUCCAGCCAUUCCUCGUUAGUGAUGAAGGCCCUAGGGUUGUAAAGCUCUUUCACCGGUGACGAUAAUGACGGUAACCGGAGCAGAAGCCCCGGCUAACUUCUUGCCAGCAGCCGCGGUAAUACGAAGGGUGCUAGCGUUGUUCGGAUUUACUGGGCGUAAAGCGCACGUAGGCGGACUUUUAAGUCAGGGGUGAAAUCCCGGGGCUCAACCCCGGAACUGCCUUUGAUACUGGAAGUCUUGAGUAUGGUAGAGGUGAGUGGAAUUCCGAGUGUAGAGGUGAAAUUCGUAGAUAUUCGGAGGAACACCAGUGGCGAAGGCGGCUCACUGGACCAUUACUGACGCUGAGGUGCGAAAGCGUGGGGAGCAAACAGG
rnacentral:rRNA from 1 species